ACCCAAUAGAUACCCCGGUAGUCCACGCCCUAAACGAUGUAUGCUUGGUGUUGGCUCGUAUGAGUCAGUGCCGUAGGUAAACCUGAUAAGCAUACCACCUGGGGAGUACGCUCGCAAGGGUGAAACUCAAAGGAAUUGACGGGGGCCCGCACAAGCGGUGGAGCAUGUGGUUUAAUUCGAGGCUACGCGAAGAACCUUACCUGGGCUUGAACUGCCGGUAGUAGGACCCUGAAAGGGGAACGACCCGCAAGGGAGCCGGCGGAGGUGCUGCAUGGCUGUCGUCAGCUCGUGCCGUGAGGUGUUGGGUUAAGUCCCGCAACGAGCGUAACCCCUACCCUUAGUUGCCAUCAGGUUAUGCUGGGCACUCUAAGGGGACUGCCUACGCAAGUAGUGAGGAAGGUGGGGAUGAUGUCAAGUCAUCAUGGUCCUUACGUCCAGGGCUACACACGUGCUACAAUGAACGGUACAAUGGGC
rnacentral:rRNA from 1 species